AUGUGGUUUAAUUCGAAGCAACGCGAGAAUCUUACCAGGCCUUGACAUGCAGAGAACUUUCCAGAGAUGGAUUGGUGCCUUCGGGAACUCUGACACAGGUGCUGCAUGGCUGUCGUCAGCUCGUGUCGUGAGAUAUUGGGUUAAGUCCCGUAACGAGCGCAACCCUUGUCCUUAGUUACCAGCACGUUAUGGUGGGCACUCUAAGGAGACUGCCGGUGACAAACCGGAGGAAGGUGGGGAUGACGUCAAGUCAUCAUGGCCCUUACGGCCUGGGCUACACACGUGCUACAAUGGUCGGUACAAAGGGUUGCCAAGCCGCGAGGUGGAGCUAAUCCCAUAAAACCGAUCGUAGUCCGGAUCGCAGUCUGCAACUCGACUGCGUGAAGUCGGAAUCGCUAGUAAUCGUGAAUCAGAAUGUCACGGUGAAUACGUUCCCGGGCCUU
rnacentral:rRNA from 1 species